rnacentral:rRNA from 1 species
CGGAGAGUUUGAUCCUGGCUCAGGAUGAACGCUGGCGGCGUGCCUAAUACAUGCAAGUCGAACGCUUUGUGGUUCAACUGAUUUGAAGAGCUUGCUCAGAUAUGACGAUGAACAUUGCAAAGAGUGGCGAACGGGUGAGUAACACGUGGGAAACCUACCUCUUAGCAGGGGAUAACAUUUGGAAACAGAUGCUAAUACCGUAUAACAAUAGCAACCGCAUGGUUGCUACUUAAAAGAUGGUUCUGCUAUCACUAAGAGAUGGUCCCGCGGUGCAUUAGUUAGUUGGUGAGGUAAUGGCUCACCAAGACGAUGAUGCAUAGCCGAGUUGAGAGACUGAUCGGCCACAUUGGGACUGAGACACGGCCCAAACUCCUACGGGAGGCAGCAGUAGGGAAUCUUCCACAAUGGACGAAAGUCUGAUGGAGCAAUGCCGCGUGAGUGAAGAAGGGUUUCGGCUCGUAAAACUCUGUUGUUAAAGAAGAACACCUUUGAGAGUAACUGUUCAAGGGUUGACGGUAUUUAACCAGAAAGCCACGGCUAACUACGUGCCAGCAGCCGCGGUAAUACGUAGGUGGCAAGCGUUGUCCGGAUUUAUUGGGCGUAAAGCGAGCGCAGGCGGUUUUUUAAGUCUGAUGUGAAAGCCUUCGGCUUAACCGGAGAAGUGCAUCGGAAACUGGGAGACUUGAGUGCAGAAGAGGACAGUGGAACUCCAUGUGUAGCGGUGGAAUGCGUAGAUAUAUGGAAGAACACCAGUGGCGAAGGCGGCUGUCUAGUCUGUAACUGACGCUGAGGCUCGAAAGCAUGGGUAGCGAACAGGAUUAGAUACCCUGGUAGUCCAUGCCGUAAACGAUGAGUGC